rnacentral:rRNA from 1 species
UACAGAGGGUGCGAGCGUUGUUCGGAUUUACUGGGCGUAAAGGGCGCGCAGGCGGCGGACCAAGUCAGGCGUGAAAGCCCCGGGCUCAACCUGGGAACGGCGUCUGGGACUGGUAUGCUAGAGUUCGGGAGAGGAGCGUGGAAUUCCCAGUGUAGAGGUGAAAUUCGUAGAUAUUGGGAAGAACACCGGUGGCGAAGGCGGCGCUCUGGACCGAGACUGACGCUGAGGCGCGAAAGCGUGGGGAGCAAACAGG